rnacentral:rRNA from 1 species
UAAGUACAGGCCUAAGUAAGGCGAAACCGCGAAUGGCUCAUUAAAUCAGUUAUGGUUCAUUGGAUCUUACCCUUUCUUACUUGGAUAACUGUGGUAAUUCUAGAGCUAAUACAUGCCAACCAGUAGCUCCGACACACUCCCGUGUGGAAGAGCGCUUUUAUUAGAUCAAAACCAGUCCUCCCUCGGGAGGUCAAACCCCUUCGUGGUGACUCUGAAUAACUUUUAGCUGAGCGCACGGUCUCCGCGCCGGCGCCGCAUCUUUCAAGUGUCUGCCUUAUCAGCUUUCGAUUGUAGGUUAUGCGCCUACAAUGGCUAUAACGGGUAACGGGGAAUCAGGGUUCGAU